AACGAACGCUGGCGGCGCGCCUAAUACAUGCAAGUCGAGCGAGAAGACGUAGCAAUACGUUUGUAAAGCGGCGAACGGGUGAGGAAUACAUGGGUAACCUACCCUCGAGUGGGGAAUAACUAGCCGAAAGGUUAGCUAAUACCGCGUACGCUCCUCGGACUUCGGUUCAGGGAGGAAAGCGAUACCGUGGGUAUCGCGCUCUUGGAUGGGCUCAUGUCCUAUCAGCUUGUUGGUGAGGUAACGGCUCACCAAGGCUUCGACGGGUAGCUGGUCUGAGAGGACGAUCAGCCACACUGGCACUGCGACACGGGCCAGACUCCUACGGGAGGCAGCAGUAAGGAAUAUUGCGCAAUGGGCGAAAGCCUGACGCAGCGACGCCGCGUGGGGGAGUGAAGGUCUUCGGAUUGUAAACCCC
rnacentral:rRNA from 1 species